UACGAAGGGUGCAAGCGUUGUUCGGAAUUAUUGGGCGUAAAGGGCGAGUAGGCGGACCAACAAGUCAGGUGUGAAAUCUCAGGGCUCAACCCUGAAACUGCGCCUGAAACUGUAGGUCUAGAAUCUUGGAGAGGGAAGGGGAAUUUCGCAUGUAGGAGUAAAAUCCGUAGAGAUGCGAAGGAACACCAGAGGCGAAGGCGCCUUCCUGGAAAAGUAUUGACGCUGAGGCGCGAAAGCGUGGGUAGCAAACAGG
rnacentral:rRNA from 1 species